AAUCUCAUUCAUUUUUCACAAUGACACGCCACUCCUUAAUUCUCAUCAUACUGGCUUCCUUCUCUAGAGGUGGCCUCUCCCAGAUUGUCCUUACCCAGUCAGAUGCAGCACUGAAGAAACCAGGAGAAUCCCAUAAACUGACUUGUGCUGUCACAGGAUUCAAUGUUAACAGUUACUAUAUGAGUUGGAUCAGACAGAAACCUGGCCAAGGACUGGAAUGGCUUGUUUACUAUUAUGAUUCUGCUAACAAGUAUUAUUCCCCAACAAUCCAAGGACGUUUUACUGCCUCCAAGGACAGUUCCAACUUCUAUCUGCAAAUGAACAACCUAAAAGCUGAAGACACAGCUGUCUAUUACUGUGCAAGCUACACAGUGAAAUAGAUCUUAAGGGAUCUC